rnacentral:rRNA from 1 species
CCUACGGGAGGCAGCAGUGGGGAAUAUUGGGCAAUGGGCGCAAGCCUGACCCAGCAACGCCGCGUGAAGGAAGAAGGCUUUCGGGUUGUAAACUUCUUUUCUCAGGGACGAAGAAAGUGACGGUACCUGAGGAAUAAGCCACGGCUAACUACGUGCCAGCAGCCGCGGGAAUACGUAGGUGGCAAGCGUUAACCGGAUUUAAUGGGUUUAAAGGGCGUGGAGGCGGGAAAGCAAGUCAGAUGUGAAAACCACGGGCUCAACCUGUGGCCUGCAUUUGAAACUGUUUUUCUUGAGUACUGGAGAGGCAGACGGAAUUCCUAGUGUAGCGGUGAAAUGCGUAGAUAUUAGGAGGAACACCAGUGGCGAAGGCGGUCUGCUGGACAGCAACUGACGCUGAGGCGCGAAAGCGUGGGGAGCAAACAGGAUUAGAUACCCGGGUAGUC